GCGUCAGGGCCGCCGGCCUCUCCUUGGCUGUUGGAGAGCCAUAGAAUACCUGUUUCAGAGCUGAAGGGGACCUGAGCCCAUGAUAAUCCAUUACCUCGUGAGAAAGCGGAAAAACUGACUUCAGCUUGCCCAGAUGGCGCAGAGAAUGGGUUUCCCGUAACCCCGCCUGUGUCUUUCCUUCAGCCUCGUCCCAAAUGCCGUGGGAGGGAAGGCACUCUCUGUCAAGCUGCUGUCACCUUACCUGAAGUAAGGAGUCCACGCCUGCAUGUCCGAGGAAAACAGUUUUCUCAAACACAUUAGUUGAAAAACUGAAGACGCUGCCUAAAAUACAAGCUGAGUUAGAGACAGCCCUUGUAAGACUAGGCCUUCAGGGGAGUCUAGAACUAUGCCACUGACUCUCCUGGUCUCCAGUUUUUCAACUUCAAAUCUUGGGAUUUAGUCUCGAUGAUCAUAAAAAGAAAUGGAAACUAAGUAACAUGAAUUAACAUAGUCCAGGGUCACAAAGCAACAUGGAACAAGAACCUGGAUCUGAAUUCAGAGGCAGAAUGCUGGGCCUGAGAAUCAGGAGAGUCAAUGGUAUUAGUGCUUGUCCGGAAGCCAUCAUGCUUCAAAACCAAGAAGAGCUGAUUUUCCAGUUGGAGUCUAAAG
rnacentral:lncRNA from 10 species